GAUGAACGCUAGCGGCAGGCCUAAUACAUGCAAGUCGAACGGUGUCUUCGGACAUAGUGGCGCACGGGUGCGUAACACGUAUGCAACCUACCUUACAUUGGGGGAUAGCCUUUCGAAGGGGAGAUUAAUACCGCAUAAGACAGUAGCUGGGCAUCCAGCAGCUGUUAAAGAUUUAUCGAUGUAAGCUGGGCAUGCGUCCAAUUAGCUAGUUGGUGAGGUAACGGCUCACCAAGGCAAUGAUUGGUAGGGGAACUGAGAGGUCAAUCCCCCACACUGGCACUGAGAUACGGGCCAGACUCCUACGGGAGGCAGCAGUAGGGAAUAUUGGGCAAUGGACGCAAGUCUGACCCAGCCAUGCCGCGUGCAGGAUGAAGGCGUUAUGCGUUGUAAACUGCUUUUAUACAGGAAGAAACGACUCUUGCGAGAGGCAUUGACGGUACUGUAUGAGUAAGCACCGGCUAACUCCGUGCCAGCCGCCGCUGUAAAAC
rnacentral:rRNA from 1 species